CCAACACACUGUGGUUGGUUGUUUGUCUUGUCCUGCAUCAGGGGGAAUCAGGUGCUGCUUGCAGCCCUGGCAACAGCCAUGUCUUCUUUGGCGUCAUGGCAACACAUCUCUCAACCAUGCGACUUGCCGCAGUGUGAAACCUCCAUCAGACUGACCUGCAUUUAACCAAAAAAUCUAAUUCCCACAGCACAGUCUGAGACAAGCAAGAGGGCAAUAAAGAAGCAGAUGCCACAGAGGGUAAGACCUCGGGACACACAGACCAUGUUGACACAUGAAGACAAUGGUACAAAGAGCUCUGAAGACUAUCGUCAAUACCUGUACAGGCUGUUGGGGGACGAGAAAGCCGAAUACUUUCUCAACCCUGACUCCCCGGGCUCACAAGCCUCUUGUUGGUACUUGCAGAUGAUCGAUGGCAUGGGAGACCAUGUAAGUGCAGAAGGUUAUUGGGACGUCCUGAGACAGAGGUCUACAUCGCUGAUGUCUCACACCACAGCAUUACAGUCAAUGCUGGAGAGAUUCUGCAAGUAUUGGGAUGGUGACCGCGAUCGAGGCCACAUGCAGCACUACAGCAGAGUCCAACUCAUGUUUCGCUCUGCACAGUGUCACCAAGUCCGUGCUUCUCAGCUACUGACCCAGAACCCCGUACCACUCUUCCACAAUGGUGAGGGAAAUGGACUCAGUAUUUACCUUGCUCAGGAUCAAGCUAUGGUGACCGGGCAGUGUGACACUGCGGUGGAACCAAAAUGACAAACUCAGCCACAUUCAGCCCAUUUCUUAAACUCAUAUAUUUGCUUUGUCUUCAUUACUUUGGAUUUCUAUACAGAAAGAUGUUUCUGCCUGACCCAGGAAACAAAGUCAUUACUGCUUCACUUAAGCCACAAGGAGGCAGUACAUAGACAUUACGUGCCAUUAAAUAGCACUUUUCAGGUAUUACUGCUCAAAUGACAGCUUUAACACCCAACUUCUUCUGUUGCAGUUGUCUGAGGUUGGAUCUUUUGUGAAUGAAAAAGCAAAAAAACAGGAACAAGAACAGAAUAAAUUGUGUUCUUUAUGUAAAAGUAUGCUGUGU
rnacentral:lncRNA from 1 species